UACGGGGGGGGCAAGCGUUGUUCGGAAUUACUGGGCGUAAAGGGCUCGUAGGCGGCCAACUAAGUCGGAUGUGAAAUCCCCAGGCUUAACCUGGGAACUGCAUCCGAUACUGGAUGGCUUGAAUCCGGGAGAGGGAUGCGGAAUUCCAGGUGUAGCGGUGAAAUGCGUAGAUAUCUGGAGGAACACCGGUGGCGAAGGCGGCCUUCUGGACAGUGACUGACGCUGAGACGCGAAAGCGUGGGGAGCAAACAGG
rnacentral:rRNA from 1 species